GAUAAGGUGGGCGAUCCGGACGUGGGAGAACGAAGGUCGUCGCUUCGGAGGUGCUAGGAGUCCGGGAGAGUCAGGCUGUUGCCGCCUCUUAGCAGCGGGAAAUCGCGCACCGGUGGCUGCACACGCAGCAGCGGCGACCGUGCGCGCAGGGGGAAAGGAAGAGGAGGAGAGUGGCUCAAGGAGACCUGAUUUUCUUGAAUUUUUCGCAAUUCUGUAAACCCCAACAGGCUUCCCAGGCGUUAAAGUAAUUUGCGGGUGGCAGUGUAGAAGCCAAACCUGGAGCUUCCAGAAGUGAUUUCUGAAAAAUAAAUAGUUGAAUGUACAAGCACAGGAGUCUGAAAAACAAAAACAACAACAAAAACAAAAGCCAAAACCACAGGUGGUGACAAGUCAAGAUAUUAUAUCACCAACGUCGAAGAAGAUUCCUUUGUCCAAUAUUCAUCUCACCUCCAAUAUGAAGGUAACCAUGUUAUGGUUUUUAAAAAGAAAACUAUUACUUUUGCCUGCUUUUAGGUUUCAUAUAAAUAGAAUCCUACAGUAGGAACUUCGUGUAUGUUUCAUAUGUCUAGAAGAUUCAUCUAUGAAUUUGUGUGGAUUGGUCAUUCCUUCUAAUCCAUUGUUGAGUAAGAAUUCCAAUUGUGUGGAUAUGCUACAGUUUAUUUCCCUGUUAUACUUUGGAUUAUGUCCAGUCUUUUGCCAG